rnacentral:rRNA from 1 species
GACGAACGCUGGCGGCGUGCUUAACACAUGCAAGUCGAACGGAAAGGCCCUGCUUUUGUGGGGUGCUCGAGUGGCGAACGGGUGAGUAACACGUGAGUAACCUGCCCUUGACUUUGGGAUAACUUCAGGAAACUGGGGCUAAUACCGGAUAGGAGCUCCUGCUGCAUGGUGGGGGUUGGAAAGUUUCGGCGGUUGGGGAUGGACUCGCGGCUUAUCAGCUUGUUGGUGGGGUAGUGGCUUACCAAGGCUUUGACGGGUAGCCGGACUGAGCGGGUGACCGGCCACAUUGGGACUGAGAUACGGCCCAGACUCCUACGGGAGGCAGCAGUGGGGAAUAUUGCACAAUGGGCGGAAGCCUGAUGCAGCAACGCCGCGUGCGGGAUGACGGCCUUCGGGUUGUAAACCGCUUUCGCCUGUGACGAAGCGUGAGUGACGGUAAUGGGUAAAGAAGCACCGGCUAACUACGUG